AAUAAAAUAAAUAUUAAAUACGAAAAUAAUUAAUCCAAUAUCUCUACCACAACAUGCAUCAAAUUCUAGAUAGUUGUCAAUAUUAACCAAAGCCAAACAUCACAAGCAAAGAACACCUCAGCUGAAGCACAAAGAAAAGUGAAUAAUAAAAAACAUCAUCUACAUGAUGACCAUCACAUCCACCAACUCAUCAUGACACUAAUCCACUAUCCCCUUAUUAAAUUAAAGUAUUAUUAACACUCAUUACAAUAAAAUAAGUACUAAAUACAAAAAUAACUUAUCCACGCAACGGAACAUAUAUUUAUUAUGAUUUUAGAGUUAGUUGUCAAAAUAAACCAAAGCCAAGCAUUACAUGGAAGAGCACUUAACCAGUUGCAACACAAAGAAAAGUGAAAAACAAAACACCAUAAUAAAUAACACUCGAUACAAUAAAAAAUAAAUAAAUCAUCCACGAUCUCUGUCACAACCAUACAUCUAAUAUGUUUCUAGGUAGUUAUAAAAAUGAACCUAAGCCAAACAUUACAAGUAAAGAGCACUUAAACAAUUAAAGUAGAAAGAAAAGUGAAAAAUAAAACAUCAUCCAUAUGAUUAAUGAGUAUACUAUCACAUUCACUAACUCAUACCACUUAUCCACUAUCUCGUUAUUAAAAGUUUAAAGUAAGAUUAACACUCAACAUCAUAAAAUAAAUACUAAAUGUUAAAAUAACUCAACCACGAUAUCUAUCACACCAUACAUCUACUGAUUCAAGGGUAG
rnacentral:lncRNA from 1 species